CUGAGGGGGCAGUUAUAGCCUGUUGCCCUCUUGAUUUUGGACUCCCAGUCUCCAGAACUGUAAGAGUAAAUUUCUAUUGGCUCUAGCCACCAAUUCUAUAGCCACAGCAAAUGCGUACUAAUGCCACUAUCCUAUGCUACCAGAUUGCAUGAUCUGCCUUAUUUUCAGCCUUAACUUAAAUACUUAAUUCCACUAUAGAGUUUCCAUGUCACUUCAGCAAAACGCAAUUUUUGUUAUACUUUACAGGUAUGAGAUUCACCUGGCACCUUAGUUAGAAACUCUUGGAUCUCAUCUUAUGCAUUGCUGAGCAAAUAACUAAGCUAGGAUUCAGGGAUGAUAAAGAGAAAAGCUUUGAGAGAGUCUAUGGGUUGAACACAUUUUUCGUGAGCUCAUGAAGCUUCCAGGCUACAAACUCUACCAGGACCACUUCUAAGAAGUUUCCUUCUGGGAAUGUCAUCGGGCUGGAACCAGGUUCAUCCAGCAUGGCUCAGGGAUGGGCCUGUCAGCAGCCAGGAGUUAGCGUCUGGAUGGAGCCCCAUCAUGUUUAUUCCGCCUUCCCCCAAGUCCCACCUGCUAGGUUUACCAGUGCAAACAUACCUUUUGGCUUAGCCCUGAUCCUGCGCCCCAAGUUGAUUGUAACCAAGGUCAAUAUCACAAGGCUCAGUAUCACAAGGACCUAAAAUGAAGCUAAGCUCCCAGACCCUGUGGCCCAGCAGGGUUUCAGCCUGCUCUCCCAUGUCUCCAACCAGACCCCAAUCAGAACUCUUCCUGCUCCUGGAGUUGGCACAAUUUACAAAGCUGAACACUGGCCAAGAUUUUUCUCCACUCUUUGCUUUGUUCCCUGAUACAUCAGUUCCACAGUUCCUUCCCGCUAAAGGACUCAGCCUUUCCCUAAACUACUCCUGGUAGCAGAGGCCAUGACAGCCUCUCUAAAGUCCAGCUAUUCUUUCCACAGAGAUGGAUCUUAGUUUCUGUGCCCUCCACCUGCUAGCCAGGUACCUUUCUUAGGGCUCUCCAGAGAAACAGAAGCAAUAAGAUAUAUAGAGAUACGUAAGAGGAGAUUUAUUAUAGGAAUUGGCUCAGGCAAUUAUGGAGGCCAAGAAGUUCCACAGUCUUCCAGGUGCAGGUUAGAGAAUGAGGAAAGGUGGUGGUGUAGUUGAGUCCAAGUGUGAAGACCUGAGAACUAGGGAGCUGAUAGAUUAACUUCCACUCCAACAAGUCCAGGACCUGAGAACCAGGAUUUCCAACACCUGAGGAGAGAUGAUGUCAUAGCUCAAGAAAAGAGAACGUGAGCCCAAUGUGGUGGCAUACACUUGUAAACCCAGUUGGUGGACUGAUGCAGGAGGAUUGCUAGUUCCAAAGGCAGCCUCACACUGGAACAGAGACCCUGCACCUAACAAAAGAAAAAGUAGGCCCAAAUCUUAACCAUGUCAGUUUAGAAACUAACUUCCUUAACAAGAUUCCUAAAGUGCAAGAAAUAAAAUCAAGAAUCAAUAAAUGGGAUGGAUUCAAACAAAAAAGCUUCUUCUAAGGAAAAAAAAAAACACCACCUAAUAAUGUGAAGAGAGAGCCUCCAGAAUAUGAGAUAUUUACCCCAUGUACCUCAGAGCAUUAAUCACCAGGGUAUAUAAAGAACUCAAAAAAAACCCCACCAAAAUAUCAAAUAAUCCAAUCAAUAAAUGGGCUAAGGAAAUGAACAGACACUCCACAGAGGAAGAAAUACAAUCAAUCAACAAAUAUAUGGAAAAAAUGGUUCAACAUCUCUAAGCAAUUAGAGAAAUGCAAAUUCAAAUAUUCUGAGAGUUAUCAAGAACAUAAGCAACAAUAAAUGUUGGUGAGGAUGUGGGUAAAAGGCACACUCAUACAUUGCUGGUGGGACUGCAAAUUGGUGCAACCACUAUGGAAAGAAGUGUGGCGAUUACUCAGAAAACUUGGACUGGAACCACCAUCUGACCCAGCUAUCCCACUCCUCGGUCUAUACCCAAAGGACUUAAAUUUGGCAUACUACAGUGACAUAGCACAUCAAUGUUUAUAGUAGCUCAAUUCAAAAUAGCUAAACUGUAGAACCAACAUAGGUGCCUUUCAACCGAUGAAUGGAUAAAGAAAAUGUGACACACACAUACACACACCCACACACAAUGGAAUAUUAUUCAGCCUUAAAGAAGAAUGAAAUUAUGGCAUUUGCUGCUAAGUGGAUGGAGCUGGAGAAUAUCAUGCUAAGCAAAAUAAGCCAAUCCCAAAAAAAACAAAGGCUGAAUAUUUUCUCUGAUAUACAAAUGCUAAUUCACAAUGCGGAGGGGGGGGCUAGGGAAGAAUAGAGGUACUUUGGAUAAAACAGAGAAGAGUGAAGGGAGGGGAGGGUGUAUGGGGAUAGGAACGAUAAUAGAAUGAAUCAGACAUCAUUACCCUAUGUGCAUUUGUGAUUACAAAACCAGUGUAAUUCUGCAUCAUGCAUGUACAACCAAAAGAAUGAGAAGUUACACUGCUUUAUCUAUAAUGUGUCAAAAUGCAUUCUACUGUCAUGUAUAAUGAAUUAGAACAAAUUAAAAUUUUUAAAAAGUCUACCAAAAAAAAAAAAAAAAAUCCAGCCUCAGCAACUUAGCAAGACCCUGUCUCAAAGUAAAAUAUAAGGGGCUGAGGUUGUGGCUCAGCAGUAGAGUGCUCGCCUGGCAUGUGCAAGGCCCUGGGUUCAAUCCUCAGCACCACAUAACAAAAAUAAAUAAAUAAAAAUAAAGGUAUUGUGUCC
rnacentral:lncRNA from 1 species